rnacentral:sRNA from 1 species
CUUCAUAGGUGGCUGCCACACUCAACAAUUUGGCUGUGCUCUAUGGCAAAAGGGGCAAGUACAAGGAGGCAGAGCCUCUGUGCCAGCGGGCACUGGAGAUUCGAGAAAAGGUACCCAUGCCCUCUCUCCCUUCUUCUCUUGUCGCUGUGACCCUUCUCUACAUGGCUCCUCUGGUCUAACCCUCCUCCUUCACUUUUUUUUUUCUCACCCCCAUCUCUGCUUUGUUCUCUCUUCCUUCAUUCCCUUUCCUCUGCUUUCCACAUGUGUGUGCCUACAUGCAAACACACGUGUGCUUGUGCACACACAUGUUCUCAUAGCCAUUUAUCCACUCCUUUGUUCCCUUUCAGGUCCUGGGCACGAAUCAUCCAGAUGUGGCAAAACAGCUGAACAACCUGGCCCUCUUGUGCCAAAACCAGGGCAAGUAUGAGGCCGUGGAACGCUACUACCAGCGAGCACUGGCCAUCUACGAGGGGCAGCUGGGGCCGGACAACCCUAAUGUAGCCCGGACCAAGAACAACCUGGCUUCCUGUUACCUGAAACAGGGCAAAUAUGCUGAGGCUGAGACACUAUACAAAGAGAUCCUGACCCGUGCCCAUGUACAGGAGUUUGGGUCUGUGGAUGAUGACCACAAGCCCAUCUGGAUGCAUGCAGAGGAGCGGGAGGAAAUGAGCAAAAGCCGGCACCAUGAGGGUGGGACACCCUAUGCUGAGUAUGGAGGCUGGUACAAGGCCUGCAAAGUGAGCAGCCCCACAGUGAACACUACUCUGAGAAACCUGGGAGCUCUGUAUAGGCGCCAGGGAAAGCUGGAGGCCGCUGAGACCCUGGAGGAAUGUGCCCUGCGG